rnacentral:rRNA from 1 species
UACGAAGGGUGCAAGCGUUACUCGGAAUUACUGGGCGUAAAGCGUGCGUAGGUGGUGAGUUAAGUCUGUCGUGAAAGCCCCGGGCUCAACCUGGGAAUGGCGAUGGAUACUGGCUCGCUAGAGUGCGGUAGAGGAGAGUGGAAUUCCCGGUGUAGCAGUGAAAUGCGUAGAUAUCAGGAGGAACACCGAUGGCGAAGGCAGGUCUCUGGGCUGACACUGACGCUCAUGCACGAAAGCGUGGGGAGCAAACAGG